rnacentral:rRNA from 1 species
GGGAAAAGCUCAAAUUUAAAAUCUGGCGGUCUCUGGCUGUCCGAGUUGUAAACUAGAGAAGUGCUAUCCGUGCUGGACCAUGUAUAAGUCUCCUGGAACGGAGCGUCGUAGAGGGUGAGAAUCCCGUCUUUGACAUGGACUACCAGUGCAUUGUGAUGUGCUCUCAAAGAGUCGAGUUGUUUGGGAAUGCAGCUCAAAAUGGGUGGUAAAUUCCAUCUAAAGCUAAAUAUUGGCGAGAGACCGAUAGCGAACAAGUACCGUGAGGGAAAGAUGAAAAGAACUUUGGAAAGAGAGUUAAACAGUACGUGAAAUUGUUGAAAGGGAAACGCUUGAAGUCAGUCACAUUGGCUAGAGAUCAACCUUGCAUUUGCAAAGUGUACUCUCUUGUUGAUGGGUCAGCAUCAAUUUUGACCAUUGGAAAAAGGUCAGAGGAAUGUGGCAUCCUUGGAUGUGUUAUAGCCUUUGAUUGUAUACAGUGGUUGGGAUUGAGGAACUCAGCACGCCGCAAGGCCGGGUUUUACCACGUUCGUGCUUAGGAUGCUGGCAUAAUGGCUUUAAUCGACCCGUCUUGAAACACGGACCAAGGAGUCUAACAUGCCUGCGAGUGUUUGGGUGGAAAACCCAUACGCGUAAUGAAAGUGAAAGUUGAGAUCUCUGUCAUGGAGAGCACCGACGCCCGGACCAGACCUUUUGUGACGGAUCUGCGGUAGAGCAUGUAUGUUGGGACCCGAAAGAUGGUGAACUAUGCCUGAAUAGGGCGAAGCCAGAGGAAACUCUGGUGGAGGCUCGUAGCGAUUCUGACGUGCAAAUCGAUCGUCGAAUUUGGG